ensembl:lncRNA
CGGAUGUGGGCAAACGACGGGGAUGAGUGCCGGGAAAGGGUUGGGAGGCGGAAGGAAGUGAAGGGGGGGGGAUGGGGGUCCUCCAAGGUCAUAGAGUUGAGGGUCGGGGGGUCCUCCAGGGUCAUAGAGUUCAGGGUCGGGGGUCCUUCAGGGUCAUAGAGUUGAGGGGGGGGGUCCUCCAAGGUCAUAGAGAUGAGGGGGUGGGGGUCCUCCAGGGUCAUAGAGUUGAGGGUCGGGGGGUCCUCCAGGGUCAUAGAGUUGAGGGGUGGGGGUCCUCCAGGGUCAUAGAGAUGAGGGUGGGGGUCCUCCAGGGUCAUAGAGAUGAGGGGUGGGGGUCCUCCAAGGGCAUAGAGAGUGGGGGGGUCCUCCAGGGUCAUAGAGAUGAGGGUCGGGGGGUCCUCCAGGGUCAUAGAGUUGAGGGGUGGGGGUCCUCCAGGGUCAUAGAGUUGAGGGGUGGGGG